rnacentral:rRNA from 1 species
UACGAGGGGUGCAAGCGUUAAUCGGAAUUACUGGGCGUAAAGCGUUCGUAGGCGGUUGACUAAGCAAGAUGUGAAAGCCCAGGGCUUAACCCUGGAACGGCAUUUUGAACUGUUCGACUAGAGUACUGUAGAGGGUGGUGGAAUUUCCAGUGUAGCGGUGAAAUGCGUAGAGAUUGGAAGGAACAUCAGUGGCGAAGGCGGCCACCUGGACAGAUACUGACGCUGAGGAACGAAAGCGUGGGGAGCGAACAGG